rnacentral:ncRNA from 2 species
AAGAAGCGCAGAGGCGCGGUCUUAAUAAGUAGCUGCGGUGAGGAGUCCGACGUUCCCCUGACCCGCUGUAAAAGGUCAGACCGCCGAAGGAUGCCAUUGUCGGAAAUGACAUUCCUGGUUUCCGGGUUAACAGCCCGGCAACUGUCACCAAGACGGUGGAGAGCUGACUGCUUU